CCGGGUGAGUAACACGUGACUAACCUACCUUUGAGUGGGGGAUAACAUCGGGAAACCGAUGCUAAUACCGCAUAACAUCGCAAGAUCAAAGCAGCAAUGCGCUUAAAGAGGGGGUCGCGGCUGAUUAGCUAGUUGGCGGGGUAACGGCCCACCAAGGCGAAGAUCGGUAUCCGGCCUGAGAGGGCGCACGGACACACUGGAACUGAAACACGGUCCAGACUCCUACGGGAGGCAGCAGUGGGGAAUUUUGCGCAAUGGGGGAAACCCUGACGCAGCAACGCCGCGUGGAGGAUGAAGUCCCUUGGGACGUAAACUCCUUUCGACCAAGACGAUAAUGACGGUACUGGUGGAAGAAGCACCGGCUAACUCUGUGCCAGCAGCCGCGG
rnacentral:rRNA from 1 species